CUAGUAACGGCGAGUGAAGCGGCAACAGCUCAAAUUUGAAAUCUGGCCCUCGGGUCCGAGUUGUAAUUUGUAGAGGAUGCUUUUGGUGAGGUACCUUCCGAGUUCCCUGGAACGGGACGCCAUAGAGGGUGAGAGCCCCGUCUGGUUGGAUACCGAUCCUCUGUAAAGCUCCUUCGACGAGUCGAGUAGUUUGGGAAUGCUGCUCUAAAUGGGAGGUAUAUGUCUUCUAAAGCUAAAUAUUGGCCAGAGACCGAUAGCGCACAAGUAGAGUGAUCGAAAGAUGAAAAGCACUUUGAAAAGAGAGUUAAAAAGUACGUGAAAUUGUUGAAAGGGAAGCGCUCAUGACCAGACUUGGGCUUGGUUGAUCAUCCAGGGUUCUCCCUGGUGCACUCUUCCAGCUCAGGCCAGCAUCAGUUCGCCGCGGGGGAUAAAGGCUUUGGGAAUGUGGCUCCCCCGGGAGUGUUAUAGCCCACUGCGUAAUACCCUGUAGUGGACUGAGGUUCGCGCAUCUGCAAGGAU
rnacentral:rRNA from 1 species